rnacentral:rRNA from 1 species
GACGAACGCUGGCGGCGUGCUUAACACAUGCAAGUCGAACGGUGAAGCGCCUUCCUUUUUGGUGGGUGUGGAUGAGUGGCGAACGGGUGAGUAACACGUGAGUAACCUGCCCCCUUCUUCUGGAUAACCACAUGAAAGUGUGGCUAAUACGGGAUAUUCUGGGUCUGUCGCAUGAUGGGUCUGGGAAAGAUAUUGUUUCGGUGGGGGAUGGGCUCGCGGCCUAUCAGCUUGUUGGUGGGGUGAUGGCCUACCAAGGCGGUGACGGGUAGCCGGCCUGAGAGGGGGGACGGUCACACGGGGGAUGAGACACGGGGCAGACUCCUACGGGAGGCAGCAGUGGGGAAUAUUGCACAAUGGGGGCAAGCCUGAUGCAGCGACGCCGCGUGAGGGAUGGAGGCCUUCGGGUUGUGAACCUCUUUCGCCAGUGAGGCAGGCCUGCCUCGUUUGUGGGUGGGUUGACGGUAGCUGGAUAAGAAGCGCCGGCUAACUACGUG